rnacentral:rRNA from 1 species
GAUGAACGCUGGCGGCGUGCUUAACACAUGCAAGUCGAACGAUGAAGCCCAGCUUGCUGGGUGGAUUAGUGGCGAACGGGUGAGUAACACGUGAGUAACCUGCCCUUAACUCUGGGAUAAGCCUGGGAAACUGGGUCUAAUACCGGAUAGGAGCGUCCACCGCAUGGUGGGUGUUGGAAAGAUUUAUCGGUUUUGGAUGGACUCGCGGCCUAUCAGCUUGUUGGUGAGGUAAUGGCUCACCAAGGCGACGACGGGUAGCCGGCCUGAGAGGGUGACCGGCCACACUGGGACUGAGACACGGCCCAGACUCCUACGGGAGGCAGCAGUGGGGAAUAUUGCACAAUGGGCGAAAGCCUGAUGCAGCGACGCCGCGUGAGAGAUGACGGCCUUCGGGUUGUAAACCUCUUUCAGUAGGGAAGAAGCGAAAGUGACGGUACCUGCAGAAGAAGCACCGGCUAACUACGUG